GAAGCUGACACCUUCUGGAAGAGUGUCACAGCAAGCUGCAAGCAGCAGGAGUCUCUUGGAGUGCAUCAAGGAUAAGCUAAUCCAGAAUAUCCUCCGCCAAUGAGAGAAGAUGUUUUGCUGGAUCUGUUGCUCUUCACCUUAGAGGAGCUUACAGGAGAAGUCCAUACUCAUGGUAGCCUGAGUUGCAGUGAUCAUGUCCUGGUGAAAAUCAUGAUUUGAAGGGAUAAGGACAGACAAAAGGUGCAAUAGGAACAACCACAGUGGCUCGAUGCGUGAGAGUAUUUGUGUGGCGGGGAUGGGAGCUUGCUGCAACCUGCUGUGAUGCCUGCACAUCCACGGUGAAUGGGAUUGGCUAAAGCUGAGCUCUUCGAUCCUCUCCCUCUCUGGGGCAGCUAUCCUAAAGAUCAAGGAUGGUUCAUACCUACUGCACUACAGCAGCACCGGAUGAUGUUUGAAAAACAUUGUUUAUAUAAUGAGAGUAUCACCAGUUCUUACAUUUUUAAUUAAAGUUCAUUCUAAGUGUGCU